rnacentral:lncRNA from 1 species
AGCUGAGUGUUCUAAGGACGGAGUUAAUCGUGCUCAGCGAUCAGAUCAGAUCAGAACAACCUCUGCUUUUGUCCGGUGAGUCUCUCCCAAUGCAAACUAUAAAACUGAUAACACGAAGGGAUGCUGUUAGCGGGAGGAAAUCACUUUAAAACAAACAAACCAGGGCGAUGGUCUCAAAGCAUCGCCGCAAAGCUUCCCCGUCGUUAGUUUAAGGGUUAAUAUACUUCCCUCUUCCUGUUGUUUAGCCAGCGCUAUGUGGGAUGUGGCAGGCUUGCAUUUUUAAGCUGUAGUAAGUGCUUUUACACCCCACGUUUCCUUCAAGGACCUAAAGGUGGUGGGCCUUAAAUAUUUAAAAUACUUAUUUACCAGGAUUUGUAUUUUGCCUAAUAAUAGUGAUACCAUCUGUAAGCGGUUUACAUAAAAUAAUAUGAAACGUUCAUAAAAAAUAGCUUUUUAUUUAUUUUCCAUCUCUCUUCCUUUCUCCUUCUUUAGAGUUCUCCUUUUCUUGUAUUUUCCUCCUUCUGACUUAGCUACUUAAUCUAAAAAAAGAGCGGUUUUAUUUCAGCAUAUAAAAAGAUACUUUGUAAUGAGUAUGUAUUUAUGUAUAUCUUUGAAUAAGUGUGAACAAAUAAAAUUAAAAAUAAGGAUACAAAAGUUAUUAAAAUACAGGUAAAGUGUUGUAGCCAACAUUCAACUCAAAGUAGACUUGUUGAAGUUAAUGGGUUAUUAAUAACUUGGGUUAUUAAUUUCAAUGUGUCUGCUCUGAGCCCGGCUAAUGUUGGAUGCCACCCCAAACAAACAGUUUUAAAAACAAAUUGGACACAUUUUAUUCACAGAAGCAUAGAAGAUGGCUCUCAUAUCACCUCUCGGUCUUCUUUUCUCCAGUCUAACAUACCCAGCUCCCUCAACUGUUCCUCAUAAGGCUUGGUUUCCAGACCCAUGAUAAUCUUGGUUGCUCUUCCUUGCACACUUUCCUGCUUGUCAAUAUCCUUCUUACACUGUGUUGCCCAGAACUGGAUACAGGAUCUGACUAAGGCAGAAUAAGAAUAGAACUGUUACUCCCAUUGAUCUGGACACUAUACUUCUGUUGAUCCAGCCUAGAACAGUGUUAGCUUUUUUUUGUUGCUGCAUCACACUCCUGACUCUUGUUAAGCUUGUAGUCUACUAAGACCCCUAGGACUUUCUUAUAUGUGCUGUGCCCCAUCCUAUAUUUGUCCCUAUUGGAAUCCAUUUUGAUAGUUUUGGCCUAGUCUCCAAUCUGCUAAGGUUUUGUUAAAUCCUUGAAUCUUGACUCUGUCUUAUGUAUUAGCUACAUUUCCUAAUUUGGUGUCAUCUGCAAGUUUGACAAGCACCCGGCCCAGUUCCUUCAACCAAGUCAUUUAUAAAGAUGUUGAACAACACCGGGCCCAGGACAGAACCCUGCGGCACCCCAUUUCUCACUUUUUUCCGGGAUGAUGAGGAACCAUUGGUGAGCACUGUUUGGGUUUGGUCGGUCAGCCAGUUUCAAAUCCACCUAACUAAUAUUGUCUAGCUAGCCUACAUUUUACCAGGAAGCUCUACUUAAAUCAAGAUACACUACAUCCACAGCAUUCCCCUGAUCCAGCAAACUUGUAACU